UGGGGAAUAUUGCACAAUGGGCGCAAGCCUGAUGCAGCCAUGCCGCGUGUGUGAAGAAGGCCUUCGGGUUGUAAAGCACUUUCAGCGAGGAGGAAGGUGGUGAGCUUAAUACGCUCAUCAAUUGACGUUACUCGCAGAAGAAGCACCGGCUAACUCCGUGCCAGCAGCCGCGGUAAUACGGAGGGUGCAAGCGUUAAUCGGAAUUACUGGGCGUAAAGCGCACGCAGGCGGUUUGUUAAGUCAGAUGUGAAAUCCCCGGGCUCAACCUGGGAACUGCAUUUGAAACUGGCAAGCUAGAGUCUCGUAGAGGGGGGUAGAAUUCCAGGUGUAGCGGUGAAAUGCGUAGAGAUCUGGAGGAAUACCGGUGGCGAAGGCGGCCCCCCUGGACGAAGACUGACGCUCAGGUGCGAAAAGCGUGGGGAGCAAAACAGGAUUAGAUACCCUGGUAGUCCACGCUGUAAAACGAUGUCGAUUUU
rnacentral:rRNA from 1 species